GACAGAGGGUGCAAACGUUGUUCGGAAUUACUGGGCGUAAAGCGUGUGUAGGCGGUUUUGUAAGUCGGGCGUGAAAGCUAAGGGCUCAACCCUUAAAGAGCACUCGAUACUGCAGAGCUAGAGUUUCGGAGAGGUUGGUAGAAUUCUUGGUGUAGAGGUGAAAUUCGUAGAUAUCAAGAGGAAUACCGGCGGCGAAGGCGGCCAACUGGACGAAAACUGACGCUGAGACACGAAAGCAUGGGGAGCAAACAGG
rnacentral:rRNA from 1 species